AUUCCGGGGCGAACCUACCGGCAAAAACUCGGGGUUUGGUCGCAUUUUAUGCCUAGGCUUAACAAAAGGGGAGGUCGACCCUUUUGCGCGAACCAACCAGCAAAUCCGCGUUGGGUUUUGCUAGCAAAAAAGUAAAUGUGGGCAUUAUGUGAACAUUCAUUAAUCACAGAGGCCCCGAGACAUAAAAAAGGCCGGCCUAAAGAAACCACCGGCCAUUCUAUGUUGACAUAGAAAUUAUGUGCGCCUUUCGAUUUUGCCGGUAGGUUCGCCCUGGAUUUUGCUGAGACGACCGGGGGCUUAGGAGGUUGGUGGGGGAACGUACUGCGGCGGGACGAGGGUUAGGGGAUACCGGCGGCGGAGGGUAGGCCGCUGCGGCGUGAGGUGGCGGCCGCCUACUGGGGUGUGGCGACGAGGGGGUGAGGAGGUCGCGGCAGAUGGACGGGCAGGUGCCGGCGGAGCAGCGGCAGGCUGGUGAGCGGAGGGAGUGGCCGGUUGCGACGGGGCAGUUGCAGGUCGGUGAGCGGAGGGAACGGCCGGUCGGAGGGGAACGCGCGGGAGGUUGGUAAGGUCGCCGCGGAAGUAGGGGCUGCUGGCCGAGGGGAGCAUCUAAGCGUCAUGUCGCGGCGAAGCUAGGGGUAGCUGGCCGCGAAGGUCGCGGCGGGGAAGCUGCAGGUUGUCAGAGGGAGCACCAGCUCGGAGAGGUCGCGGAGGCGUAGCUGGCCGCGAAGGUCGCGGCGGGGAAGCUGCAGGUUGUUGGGGGGAGCAGCAGCUCGGAGAGGUCGCGGAGGCGUAGCUGGCCGCGGAGGAGCAGGAGGUCUAGACUGAGUGAAGGAGCGGGAAACAAAGGAAAGGUCGGGUCGCGGAGGUUUAGCUGGUUUUUUCUUCCGGUUUAGUCCUGUCGCAUCAAGAUGCUUCUGGUUCAAGAUCCUCACUAUCACAACGUGUAGUCGGGAGAGGUAACUGUCUACUUACUUUGUGGGGUCCGGGUUCUCCUACCACCAUGAGGUUACUGUCUAAGAAGUGUACUACUUUCCGUACAACUACGACGAUGAGUUUACCUACUAGUACCAAGACCAGGUUGUGGACUUUUAGUAAAUCCUUACGGUAUCAAUAUUAAUCACGAACAUAACCAUUGAUAUACGUGCCUGGGAAAAUAAACAGUUAGCGAUGAUGACUACUUUUAAACCCUGAGAUCAUACAGAAAACCAGACCGAUUAUUGAUCACAAUUCAACUCGAAAACCAUUAAUGCGCUUAGACCACUUGUACCUCCAAACACAUUACCCAUAUAUAACACUCGAUACUUACCCUACGGUAGAAUUUGACCCGAUACACUGGAAACAAACACGGUCUUAUAAUUAACAACAUGGUAUUAACCAACACUUAAAGUCAUUAAGUUAUAAUAAAACUAAGAAAC
rnacentral:rRNA from 1 species